GAUGAACGCUGGCGGCGUGCCUAAUACAUGCAAGUCGAGCGAACAGACGAGGAGCUUGCUCCUCUGACGUUAGCGGCGGACGGGUGAGUAACACGUGGAUAACCUACCUAUAAGACUGGGAUAACUUCGGGAAACCGGAGCUAAUACCGGAUAACAUGUUGAACCGCAUGGUUCAACAGUGAAAGACGGUCCUGCUGUCACUUAUAGAUGGAUCCGCGCCGCAUUAGCUAGUUGGUAAGGUAACGGCUUACCAAGGCAACGAUGCGUAGCCGGCCUGAGAGGGUGAUCGGCCACACUGGAACUGAGACACGGUCCAGACUCCUGCGGGAGGCAGCAGUAGGGAAUCUUCCGCAAUGGGCGAAAGCCUGACGGAGCAACGCCGCGUGAGUGAAGAAGGUCUUCGGAUCGUAAAACUCUGUUAUUAGGGAAGAACAAAUGUGUAGGUAACUAUGCACGUCUUGACGGUACCUAAUCAGAAAGCCACGGCUAACUUCGUG
rnacentral:rRNA from 1 species